UGCAAGUCGAACGGUGAACACGGAGCUUGCUCUGUGGGAUCAGUGGCGAACGGGUGAGUAACACGUGAGCAACCUGCCCCUGACUCUGGGAUAAGCGCUGGAAACGGCGUCUAAUACUGGAUACGAGUAGCGACCGCAUGGUCAGUUACUGGAAAGAUUUAUUGGUUGGGGAUGGGCUCGCGGCCUAUCAGCUUGUUGGUGAGGUAAUGGCUCACCAAGGCGUCGACGGGUAGCCGGCCUGAGAGGGUGACCGGCCACACUGGGACUGAGACACGGCCCAGACUCCUACGGGAGGCAGCAGUGGGGAAUAUUGCACAAUGGGCGCAAGCCUGAUGCAGCAACGCCGCGUGAGGGAUGACGGCCUUCGGGUUGUAAACCUCUUUUAGCAGGGAAGAAGCGAAAGUGACGGUACCUGCAGAAAAAGCGCCGGCUAACUACGUGCCAGCAGCCGCGGUAAUACGUAGGGCGCAAGCGUUAUCCGGAAUUAUUGGGCGUAAAGAGCUCGUAGGCGGUUUGUCGCGUCUGCUGUGAAAUCCGGAGGCUCAACCUCCGGCCUGCAGUGGGUACGGGCAGACUAGAGUGCGGUAGGGGAGAUUGGAAUUCCUGGUGUAGCGGUGGAAUGCGCAGAUAUCAGGAGGAACACCGAUGGCGAAGGCAGAUCUCUGGGCCGUAACUGACGCUGAGGAGCGAAAGGGUGGGGAGCAAACAGGCUUAGAUACCCUGGUAGUCCACCCCGUAAACGUUGGGAACUAGUUGUGGGGUCCAUUCCACGGAUUCCGUGACGCAGCUAACGCAUUAAGUUCCCCGCCUGGGGAGUACGGCCGCAAGGCUAAAACUCAAAGGAAUUGACGGGGACCCGCACAAGCGGCGGAGCAUGCGGAUUAAUUCGAUGCAACGCGAA
rnacentral:rRNA from 1 species